rnacentral:lncRNA from 1 species
UCCUAUAAUUCCACAAGCUAGGCACCAGAUAAGGGACACACAACAGAUGUUCAUUUCAAAUCAGAUCUCUUUGCGAUUAAUAGCAUGGACCCAUCUCCUUUGUGUUAUUGCAAGCACACAGCUGAGGUCUCAUUUCUUCCAACUUUUAAAGCCUAAAAUCAGGAACAGACAAAUAUGCACAUCCUCACCACAGCUUGGGUCUUAAUUUGAGGUACACAGCAUGUAUACUAUUCCUAUGUUCUAAGUUCUGCAAGAUUCUAUAAUUAUGCAAUAUCUAGACUUAGAGUUAACUAAAUAGACGACGAAGAGAUGGCAUUUGGUAUAAAUGAGAAAAUUAGUGGGAUAAUCUCUUAGACGAGGUGACAGUCUUCAUUCUUUCAGAG